AGAGACGUGACUCCCGCUACG
rnacentral:miRNA from 1 species